AGCUCCAAUAGCGUAUAUUAAAGUUGUUCCGGUUAAAAAGGUCGCAGUUGGAAUUCUGCCGAGGACGACCGGUCCGCCCUUUGGGUGAGUAUCUGGCUCGGCCUGGGCAUCUUCUUGAAGAACGUAGCUGCACUUGACUGUGUGGUGCGGUAUCCAGGACUUUUACGUAGAGGAAAUUAGAGUGUUUCAAGCAGGCACACGCCUUGAAUACAUUAGGAUGGAAUAAUAAGAUAGGACCUCGGUUCUAUUUUGUUGGUUUCUAGAGCUGAGGUAAUGAUUAAUAGGGAUAGUUGGGGGCAUUCGUAUUUAAUUGUCAGAGUUGAAAUUCUUGGAUUGUUAAAGACGGCCUACUGAGAAAGCAUUUGCCAAGGAUGUUUUCA
rnacentral:rRNA from 1 species